GUGUCAGCAGCCGCGGUAAUACGUAGGGUGCGAGCGUUAAUCGGAAUUACUGGGCGUAAAGCGUGCGCAGGCGGUGGCUCAAGCCAGGCGUGAAAUCCCCGGGCUUAACCUGGGAAUGGCGUUUGGGACUGGGUCGCUAGAGUGUGGCAGAGGGAGGUGGAAUUCCACGUGUAGCAGUGAAAUGCGUAGAGAUGUGGAGGAACACCGAUGGCGAAGGCAGCCUCCUGGGCCAGCACUGACGCUCAUGCACGAAAGCGUGGGGAGCAAACAGGAUUAGAUACCCUCGUAGUCC
rnacentral:rRNA from 1 species